UGCGACCGCACUGUGAAAUGGUCAACGUAAGUAAUAGAAAGAUACAGUGAAACCUCUGUUUAUUAGCUACAUGAACUUUUAUGUAUAGCAGGCUGCAUUUCCGGCAGGUGCAGUGCUGAACAAACUUUUGCAGAACAGGCUCCGCUGAAUUGUUUCCUCAGAGUGACACGCUGGCACCUAAUGGUAUCGUGUGGACUUACAAACAGGGUUACCAAGGCAUAUGUCGUUAAGUCCGUAGGUGCGAUUCCCCGUAGCGUGUCACUCUUGGAAGGAAGAAUUGCACGAGAGCGUCUUCUGCAAACUUUUGUGGGUGUGUUUCAGAUACCUUGUGAAACUGAGUCUGCCGCAUGAAAGCUUUUACUUUAGUAAAAAAAGGACAGUGUGUACGUAUAUAUAUUUAUCACCUCAUAGUUACUUUCAAACACACUUGAGACACCAAGGUAAAGCAGGAUUUUUGCAAGGCUGUACGACCUCUCAAAGUGAACCCAACUGCUUCAAAUGCUCCCCUGAUUGGAAAUGAAACGAUUUUUUUUUGGUGCUACACUGUCCAUCAGACGACAUCAUAUGGGCUAAAAUUUCGUCUAAAAAUCAUGACAUGUAAAUUGGAGCGGGAUUUCCAGGGAGGGUUGCUCAUACUCUGGGAAGUUUUGCCUAUAUACUGCUUGCAACAGCUGAAGAAGCAAAAGUAAAGCGGUAAGUUUUUGAUUCGCAACGUAGUUCUUUUUUCUCAUGACUGUUGUCUUUUUCAGUAUUUAGCUCAAGCCCGAUAUACUUUGAAAAUGCUCCAGAGUCGCCGCCACAAAACUCUUACACGCCGGAGUCCGACGAGAGCA